rnacentral:rRNA from 1 species
UUUCCCUCAGGAUAGCUGGCACUCGCUUGAGCGAGUCUCAUCUGGUAAAGCGAAUGAUUAGAGGCCUUGGGGCCGAAACGACCUCAACCUAUUCUCAAACUUUAAAUGGGUGAGAUCUCUGGCUUGCUUGAACGUUGAAGCCAUGAGAAAUUUGAUUAAGGAUCAGAGUGCCAAGUGGGCCAAUUUUGGUAAGCAGAACUGGCGCUGUGGGA